ACGGAAGGCAGCAGUGAGGAAUAUUGGUCAAUGGGCGGAAGCCUGAACCAGCCAAGUCGCGUGAGGGAGGAAGGUCCUACGGAUUGUAAACCUCUUUAGCCGGGGAGCAAUAAGCGCUAUGUAUAGCGUGAUGAGAGUACCCGGAGAAUAAGGAUCGGCUAACUUCGUGCCAGCAGCCGCGGUAAUAUGGAGGAUCCGAGCGUUAUCCGGAUUUAUUGGGUUUAAAGGGUGCGCAGGCGGUCGAUUAAGUCAGUGGUCAAAUCGCGGUGCUCAACGCCGUUCCGCCAUUGAUACUGGUUGACUUGAUUCCGGUCGAGGCAGGCGGAAUUCGUAGUGUAGCGGUGAAAUGCAUAGAUAUUACGAAGAACUCCGAUUGCGUAGGCAGCUUGCCAGGCCGGCAAUGACGCUCAUGCACGAAAGCGCGGGGAUCGAACAGGAUUAGAUACCCUGGUA
rnacentral:rRNA from 1 species